AAAAAAAAAAAAAAAAAAUUCUUUUUCAAACUAAUUUUCAUAUCUGCAUGGAAAAUUCUAACUUGUUUUACUAUAUCCAACAUUUUAGUUUUAUACCAGGAUGGUAUUGAUUUUUCCAUCUUAUUCUUCAGAAUUCUGAAUGACCUGGCUAUAUUUGAAAAUAAUGCUGAUUCUCAAAAAUAAAAAAAAAAGUUAUUUGCCACCACUAAAUAUAGUCAAAAGAAUUUGUCAUCAAGAUUGAAUGCCAAGAUAUUUCUGGAAUUGGAAUAAAGCCUCCGCAGAGUGAUGACUUUGAAAUAAUCUCAGAGGUAUGCCUUUGAGAUACCAACACAGGGAGAAGUGGCAGUAACAUUUAAGUUGUUUUCUUGGCACACAGCAGAUGAUCCAGUAGCCUCAGAGGUUCUAGCCAGGAAGCUUAAAAUAGACUUGCACAGGGGUGUGAGAUGCUGUCAGCCUGAUGGUUGCUGACUGUCUGGCCUUUGCUAAAAUCAAUCAGAAGAAAGGCUGGUUCUCCACACUUCUGACUCUCUACAGGUCUUCUGGGAACUGAGCAAGUAAUUAGUAACUACAAUAAUCAAUACUUGUUUUCUUA